AUCCAGCUGACGAGUCCCAAAUAGGACGAAACUCACGUCUUGAAU
rnacentral:hammerhead_ribozyme from 1 species